rnacentral:rRNA from 1 species
GAAGGUCAUGGCAAGACGAGCCGUUUAUCAUUACGAUAGGUGUUAAGUGGAAGUGCAGUGAUGUAUGCAGCUGAGGCAUCCUAACAGACCGAUAGACUUGAAC